CGAAACCAGAAAAAAUAGCCGUUGCCGGGCUUCCCCUCUCCCGAGUUCAUUUUUCUUGAAACCAUUGAGAGUCAAUUUCUUCCAAACUCUAUCAGAUAUCCUCCUAAUUCCAUAAACCAAUCUUCUGUUUUCAUCCUUCGAUCCCACCGAAAAAGCCUCCUUUUAUUUUUACUAGAGCAAACCUGCAAUGGCAUCCAAAACAGUUGCUAAAGACAUAAUCACUCUGCGCGGUUCUGCGGCAAUUGUUAGUGAGUUCUUUGGUUAUGCAGCG
rnacentral:misc_RNA from 1 species